rnacentral:lncRNA from 1 species
UGAGCGCUGUACAGCAGAGCUUUCAGAUCCGCUCCAGUGAAGGAGUCAGUGACCGACGCCACGUGCUGAAGGUCCACGUCAUCUGCCAGAGCUAGAGACUUGCUGAGGACAGUUAAAAUCUCAAGACGGGACACCUGAAGGAAGAAAACCUAAUUUACUAAACACACACGCACAAUAACUGUUGUGUAAAUUGUGAUGUUUUUCAUGAACUGACUGACAUGUCUAACAAGCUAAGCUUUCCAAGCAGUCUGUACGAGAAGGAAAUCAUCUUUCUUAGACUGGGAUCCCUAAGAGGAGACACAGGUGUACCUUUGCUACUUUGUGGGGUUUUUCUUCCACCUUUUUCCACCCUGUCAACCCCCUAACACUAGAUAAGAGGACAAAGAGUAGAUGGGAAGGGGGUGACUUCCUGCUGCUUAGGGAUACCAAGUUCCUCGGGGCAAGUUUAAUCUUUGCUGUCAGGAUAUUUAAUUUCUUCUUUCUUCUUUGCACACGACUAUUUAACAAAUAUUUAUUUAACACAUAAACCAACAACCCAAAACAACCAAAUUCUCAGGGGCCCUAACAUUUAUGUACUCUCUGAAAAGUUCCCAGAAUUCCAAACAUCACACAACUGCAGAAACUCUCUGCAGCUGGCAGAACCAUGCCCCUGCUAGAGCACAAGGCAAAUCAUAGCCAGCUGCUGUAACAGUCUGAAGCACCUGGGAUUAAAAUGAAAGCACAUUCCUAUUUCUGUGUUUCUUAAAGAAACCCAAAAGCCAACAUUCAAUGUGAAUAUACAUACUCUGGUUAUUUUGUAGAUUUGGACAUGUGUGCCAACACAGGAGUAACAUUAAGAAACAAGUACACAUGGCCCACAGCCUUGGAGCUUUUGGCCAUUCUCUUUCAUUCAUUCAUUCAUUCCUUGGCAGAAUGAGACAAGAAGAGCUGACCACCCUUCUCCAUGUGACCUGGCCACGUGUUCACUGGCACGCUUGCUUGCUUGUGAACCGGGGCCUCUAACCAGAUAAGGAGUGUGGGAUCGCAGAGGACGAUUGUUACGCCUCCUGAUUUGCUCGUAUAGAUCAACACUGCCAUUCCUGGAACAGGAGUGCACUGAACGUGCCGCACCUGACUCAGGAUUAUUUAUGCUUUGAGCAAACAGUGAGCAAAGCCUUUGCUUGCAAAGCUGUCUUCUUUUGCUUUUUGAGGGUUUCACUGUGUAGCCGUGGCUGUCCUAGAAUUCACUCUAUAGACCAGGCUGGCCUCUAUUUCACAGAGAUCUCCCUACCCUUGCCUCUUGACUGCUGAGGUUAAAGGCAUACACCACCACCACCACCACCACCACCACCACCACCACCAAUGAGCUUCAAAGCUAUCUUAGGAUAAUUGCUACCACAUGACCAAAGUAAAGCUCACAAGCAAAGGGUGUGGCAUCUCUGGAUGCUCCAGGGUUUUGUCACCUGAUCUGGAGGAGGGCAGUAUACACAUUUAUCCAGUCUGCCAGGCCGCAACAGGGCAGGGUCGAUCAAGUCAGGGCGACUAGUAGCAGCCAGCACAUAAACUCCUGAGGGGAAAAUACUUUUAGCAUGAUCAUGUAGUAACUUCUUUUAUAGUGUGUUUUUGUGUGAACAGUGAUUUACCCUGUAAGCCUUCUACUCCGUCUAACUGUGUCAGCAACUGGUUGACUACUCGGUCUGUAACCCCUGUGUUGUCAUGGCCUCUUCGAGGAGCGAUGGAUUCAAACUCAUCAAAGAAAAGAAUGCAGGGCUUUGCAGCCUGUGCUCUGAGAGGGGAAAAAUGCUAUAUUUUAUCAGGGCUGCAGAGUUUUCAAACUCUUCAUAUACAGACACACACACAGACACACACACACACACUAGAUUAUAAUAUAUAACAUAACAAUCUGUGUGUACAUAAGCAAAUUACAUGCAAUUAUUCUUAUUUUCUGGCUAUUUCAAUUAAAACUAAGUUUUUGUUC